UAACUGAUUAGGCUUUAGAAUAAUUUGAACCAUGGGGCAUUCGAUAGAUUUCUAAGGAUGCCAUUUUGGGCUAUUAUUGCAAUGUUGGAGUUGCAUGCUGAUCCCCAGAGCUGGAUACCGUAUAAGAAAAUAAAACUUGUUUCAAUAUUUAGCACCGAUCACUACCAUUAAAAUUGGUAAACAAAACUCUAAGUUUGGUGGUCUACCUUAACGUGACAUUGGCAAACUUGUGGUAUACCUUCCACAGGUGGCAUAGUAGGAAGAAUAGAAUAGAAUAGCAUUGUGGCUGGGUAUAGCUAGUUAUUUGUAGUAAUUAAUAAAAUAAUCAGAAUAAUUUUCAAAGCAAGCCUUCUUUCUUACCAUUGUGGUUCUCAUAUAAGUCCUCAGGUUUAAAUGUAUCCUUGUUUUGAGAUUUGGCUGUACAUUUAACUUUUAAUGAAUAUUCUAAUGUAUCAAAUUCUGAUGCUUCAGAUUCACCUGAAAAGGAAUCAAAUCAAAAUCAGUUUAUUCACAUAGGUCACGGAAAUGACACUUAUGAAUGUCAAAAAAAAAAUCUUAUUGAAUCUACCGCUACUUCGUAAGGAGUUGAGCUAAUGAGAAGAAGUAGCAAGAAACUCAUUUCCGGUCUUUUAUAUCAAGAUUUACAUUUACAUCGAUUUACAAAUCAUUUCACUUUUUUUUUUAUUAUGAAAAAUAGAAUUACUAUUUAUUAUUAUAUAACAGGCCAAAACCCACAGAGGUUUGUCCGGCAUGUUAGAAGAAAUACUAUUAUCGUCUACAAUAACUAUUAAUAUUAACUUAUAAAUACACAAUUUAAUAAUAUAGGUACCAUACAAAUGAUUACUCAUUAUUACAAUAUAAUAUGUAAAAUGACAAACACACUCAAACAUCAAAUAGUCAAUGUCUUACAUGAGUAAGUCAAAAAAGUAAAUGUAAAUUAAUACAAAAGUUAUUGAGUACAGUAGCUGCAUCAUCCACAUACACCAUAAAUAAAUAAAGGUAUUCUGUGAGCAUUUUAUAAACAAUUAUAAAUAAAUAUGUAUAUAUCCAUACAUAUAUAUACACACAAUAACUUUUAUGAAUCUGAAACAGAGUCCCCAGCAACAGGAUCAUCCUGCCACCACAAGCAACACCCGUUCACGAGCAUGAUGCAUGAGCCAGCCAUUACCUCCCUCAACCAUAUUUUAGGGAAGGGGAUGACCCAUCCCAUGUCGCCGCCACAAUACAAUUAAAAACUUAUCAAUUCAACAGCUCAGUAGUUAUAUUAUUAUUCAUCAAGUGAGACAGUCAUAGUAGCAGUACUAAUAAUAAUAAUCUUGUUAGUCCCCUGGUGUUUGUUGCAACAGAGAAUGGAAGUUGUGAUCACUGAUCAGGUGACCCAUAAUCACAUUUUGUCCCCCAAACCCAUAAAAGUCACUCAUUUUUGGUUGUCAAAUCAAUUGACAAAAUAAAUUUAAUCUUAAUAAACUUAUCAGGAUUAAAACAAAACUAAUAUAGUUGUAGAUAUUUUCAAACCUUCUAAACGGUAUUCAAACAAUCUUGGGUCAGCUUUUAGUGGAAUUAAGCCAAGUCUGUGUGCUAAUAUUUCAUCCUGAAUAAUUGAAGUGUUAUUUCGUAUCAUAACUUUUUCUAUUGCCAUGCUAGGAACUUCACUUAACAUCAAUCUCCUAAAAGCAUUGGCGAAAGCUGGCUGUAACCCGAUCAAAUCAAAUUCCAUUUCCCAUUUAUCCAUACGAACAAUAACAAUACGAAACUUCUUAGUAAACUUUUUAAAAUCCCAUUUCUCAUCGGCCAUUCCAUAAUCGUCCGGGGCAUUCUAUCAAAGUAAAUAUUUAUCGUUAUAAUGUGAAAGUCAUAUAGAAGUAGAUUAUUAGAAAUAAAUAUUUCACAAUCUUCUAACCUUAACGCGAAAUUCUUCAAGGAAUACACGAGGUUUCUCAUCUAAUUUAAACAUAGUUAUACACUGCAAUUAUAUGCAAGCGGCAGGUAUUUUUAGUAGAGUUUAGAGAGUAAAGUUGUUUAAUCCAAUGAAAUGGAGUAAUAAAACUUUCAAAAUUUAUUUAGAUUGCACCAUAUCACAAUUAUUAUUAUUUAUAAGUUCUUAUUCUUAAAAUUCAAAAAAAUGUUAGCGCGAUCUGCGAUCCAAGUACACCAAAGAGAAUUUAAACACUACGUCAGCGGUGGGUCAGUCGCCUUAUAGUGACGUUUUCAGAAAACUGUAGUGCCAUCUGUUAGUUGGCUUCAAAAUUAAAGCUUUGUCAGCUGUCACUCGCUUUGAAACCUGCCCACUGGUCUUAAAAUGGCGGCUACUUCUAGCGUUCGCACUUUGCGCAUGUGUUUGAAUAGCUCUAGUGUUCCAUUUUGCAUAUUUUUGGUAUUGAAAUCGAAGUGUAAAUGCGUCGAGUCGAGCCUUGUGUUCCUCCGCCUUGCUGUUGCGAAUUCACUCCAAAAAUCUCCUUAUUCUGUGAAUUUCUACUUUUUGUGAUAGAGACACUUUUGUUUGUGGAAUUCAUGAUCUUUGGUGUAAUGCCGAGACGUUGUGCUUUCGGUUGUGCGCUCCGUGGUAAAGAUUCCAAUGCAUCGUUUCCCAGAUGCUGUUAAAUUUCCUGAGCAGUUUAAAACUUGGGUCAGUCUUGUUGGUGGAAACUCUUAAACAUCUGAUUUUGAAUGUUAUAAGAAGAAGAGAAUUUGUGAUAUACACUUUUCUGACAGACACAAUCGUAAUCAACGGCUAAGCACAUUGGCAGUUCCGAUGCUUCAUCUGCCUGGACAACUACUUACAGAGUCAAGUAAUCUUAGGACAAGCUUCAUCCACAUAACAUUUACUGACUACAAUAAUACAGCAAGACUGUUCAGAUGCAUCUCAAGAAUUUACUUCAGCAAGGUGCUUGAUGCUGGAAGCCUAAAAGAACAGCUGGAAAUAUUAUUAUACUAAUAUUACAAAUGGGAAAGAUUCUGAUUUCUUUUGAAAAUAUUGUUUUUAUACUUUUUUAUCCAAAAAGUGCUGAAUAAAUUUGUAUGAAAUUUGGCAUAAUUUAUGAUCUUUUGUCUAGGUGGGCAAAGUAGUUCCCUCAUAGUCCCGGAGCUGGGGACAAAAAUCAGCAAGAUUCUUGUAAUGGCCCAUCAUUUAUUUUGUAGUAUGUGAGUCAGCAAAGUUAGGGAGUAGCACACCUGACAAUGGCGGGCUUUGAUGUAAUAUUACAACACUCAUAAGAAAUUAAACAUAAGUCUUUAUUUAACAAACAUUAACCAUAAAUGUGACAGUAAUUUUAUAACAGCAGAUUAAUGCAUGACAUGACAUAAGACUAUUGAGCCAAAUGUCUUUUUUGAUGAAGGCUGCAUUGGUACCUGAUACGAUUGAGAACAGGUAAUGUCCGUGUGGGAAUGAAAUUUUGAAUAUAUUUUUAUUCAUUACUGACUCGACAGACGUCGUGCUGUACAUAUUAAAUUCUUCUUCUUAUCAAAACCUUUACUGGACUUCCACAAAAAUUCAAGACCGAAAUUAGCCAAAUCGAUCCAGCCAUUCUCAAGUUUUAGCAAGACUAACGAACAGCAAUUCAUUUAUAUAUAUAUAUAUAUAUAUAUAUAUAUACUGAAUCCCUUUUCAUAUUGUCCAUUUAUUUAAUACCAUAUAAUACAUAUAUUAUACUAUACAAUUUGUAAAUUAAACAUUCUUUCACAGAUCUAAAUGGCUCCACAGCGCACAAAGAUCAAGCAUCUUCAAGCAGAAAUAUCGCGCUUGCGAAAAAAAGGACAAUCUUUCAAAGCAAGGUUAAAAGGUGGUGCAGAUCGAUCAAUCGAAUUUUGUCCGGAAAAUUAACAUAUGUGGGUGAAGACGAAACAAAAACAGCUGCCCAACAAUAUUAUGAUAAACAUAAACAUUAUAAAAAUAAAAAACAAUAUAAACAUA